ensembl:lncRNA
GAAAUACAAAAAUGCAAAAGAAAGUGUCUCCACCCUGAGUUCCAAAGAGUAAGACAAGAGAGCCCAGAUGAAACAAUGAGGAAGGCAGUGAGAACUUCGGGGACCUUCCAGAUGAAGUGAGCAUCGCAUCCAGCAGGGAUGGAUCCAAGACAGUCCCCUGGGGCACCAUGACACAUCUGAGCAAACCAGCUGAGCUUCAAGUGGCUGUGCUUGGAGCUUUCAAAUGAGCCUCGAGCGCCCCAUUUGGAUCAGAGUGCAGCUCCUCCCCAGACUUGCUUCUUUUAUCUGAAAGUUGAAGAUCAUCCCCGAGACAUGUCAUGGCCCAGAUCUCAGGGUUCUCCAAGGUCAGCCUGACUCCAAUACAGAGAAAGUGAGGAACUGCUGGGACGCCAGGGAGAUCUCAUGCCCCUAAAAACCCUCUCUGAGCUGCUAGUCAGGAACUGAGCAUCCCUCACCCUGGGCCAACACCUUCCACUCUGCCUCGGGAGACCAGACACCUGAAGGAGGAGAGCCACACAGCUGCCACUUGCACCAGCAAUGAAGUGACCGGCAGCAGGACUUUCCUGAGCGCUUGUGCUGAUCCUGCAGAGAUCUUGUGCCACGUCCUGAAACAGGGGACCUGGAACCUUGUGCUAAGUCAGCGCCAGUUAUGACCGUUGAUAUUAGGACAGAAUGUUCUGGAACUCCCUGAGCUCUUUCCCACACAUCUCAUCUGUCCUUCCCUCUCGCCUGUGAGGAAGGGCAGGCAGGCUUAGACAGGAAGCAGGCUCAGAGAGGCUACAGGAUUUGUCCCAGAUUCACAGUUAUUGGGGGGUGAGCUGGGGUUAAUUUCCAAGUCCUCCGUCUCCAGAUCCAGGGCCGUUCCCAUUGCUGAAGGAACAGUACUGGUAGCAAAACCUAAAGCAGGUCUGCUCCCUACCACGCCAUCCACCAAAGAGGAAGAGGAAAGAGGGAGGUCAGGGCAUAACGCCAUCCUGGAACCC